rnacentral:snoRNA from 1 species
CUAGAUUGAUAUAAGUUAAGCAUUGAAAGAAAAGAACAUACUGGUUUAUGGCAGAACAACCUGUGUCUGAGACCACUGUCUGCCCUCUGCAUCUAAGGGCUUCUGGCAUUGAAGUGGAAUGGCUAGUA